rnacentral:rRNA from 1 species
GAGAGGGAGCCUGAGAAACGGCUACCACAUCCAAGGAUGGCAGCAGGCGCGCAAAUUACCCAAUCCCGACACGGGGAGGUAGUGACAAUAAAUAACAAUACGGGGUUCUUUAGGAUCUCGUAAUUGGAAUGAGUACAAUUUAAAUCUCUUAACGAGGAACAAUUGGAGGGCAAGUCUGGUGCCAGCAGCCGCGGUAAUUCCAGCUCCAAUAGCGUAUAUUAAAGUUGUUGCAGUUAAAAAGCUCGUAGUUGAAUUUCGGGGUUAGUAGGUUGGUCAUGCCUCUGGUAUGUACUGGUCUCACUGAUUCCUCCUUCCUUAUGAACCGUAAUGCCAUUAAUUUGGUGUUGCGGGGAAUUUGGACUGUUACUUUGAAAAAAUUAGAGUGUUUAAAGCAAGCUAACGCUUGAAUACAUUAGCAUGGAAUAAUGAAAUAGGACGUUCGAUCUUAUUUUGUUGGUUUCUAGGAUUGACGUAAUGAUUAAUAGGGAUAGUUGGGGGCAUUAGUAUUCAAUUGUCAGAGGUGAAAUUCUUGGAUUUAUUGAAGACUAACUACUGCGAAAGCAUUUGCCAAGGAUGUUUUCAUUAAUCAAGAACGAAAGUUAGGGGAUCGAAGACGAUCAGAUACCGUCGUAGUCUUAACCAUAAACUAUGCCGACUAGGGAUCGGAUGAUGUUAAUUUUUUAAUGACUCAUUCGGCGCCUUACGGG